UACGAACUGUGCGAACGUUAUUCGGAAUCACUGGGCUUACAGGGUGCGUAGGCGGCUCAACAAGUCAGGUGUGAAAGCCCCCGGCUCAACCGGGGAACUGCGCUUGAAACUGUUAGGCCCGAGUCAGCUAGAGGUACACGGAACUUCCAGUGGAGCGGUGAAAUGUGUUGAUAUUGGAAGGAACACCGGAGGCGAAAGCGGUGUACUGGGGCUGGUCUGACGCUGAGGCACGAAAGCCAGGGGAGCGAACGGG
rnacentral:rRNA from 1 species